GAAAAACCAAAGUGAGUGGAGAAAGUUCAUGGAGAUGCAAUGUCGGCAUCAGCCUCCUACAUGGAAAAGCAUUUGAUUCUGGGACAAGAAACUGAGGACUACAGGUAGUCUGUUGGGUGUAAAAUCUCAUGGAAAGACACAGGCCUCUGAAGAAAAUGUCAGUCGCAUUAGAGAGGCAUUCCAGCUAAAUCUGUGCAAAUCAAUUUGUGCUGCUAGCUUGCAGUUACAAAUUCCAUGUUCAACAGUGCACAUUGUGCUACAAAAAAGGCUCCACCAAAGAGCAUACAAGAUUCAAAUGAUUCAUGCACUAAAACUGACCAAGUACCAUGCAUGUAAUUUGCUGUGGACAUGCUAUAAAGAAAUGACAUGUCACCUGAUUUCCUCCGCCAAGUGUGCUUCUCAGACAAGGUAAUAUUCCAUGUCACUGGUGUUCUAAACAGGUACAACUGCAGGAUUUGGUGG